rnacentral:rRNA from 1 species
GGAAGAGUUUGAUCCUGGCUCAGAUUGAACGCUGGCGGAAUGCUUUACACAUGCAAGUCGAGCGGCAGCGCGGGGCAACCUGGCGGCGAGCGGCGAACGGGUGAGUAAUGCAUCGGAACAUGUCCAUGUCGUGGGGGAUAGCCCGGCGAAAGCCGGAUUAAUACCGCAUACGCCCGAGAGGGGAAAGCAGGGGACCGCAAGGCCUUGCGCGAUUGGGUUGGCCGAUGUCCGAUUAGCUUGUUGGUGAGGUAAAGGCUUACCAAGGCGAUGAUCGGUAGCUGGUCUGAGAGGAUGAUCAGCCACACUGGGACUGAGACACGGCCCAGACUCCUACGGGAGGCAGCAGUGGGGAAUUUUGGACAAUGGGGGCAACCCUGAUCCAGCCAUUCCGCGUGAGUGAAGAAGGCCUUCGGGUUGUAAACCACUGUCAGAGGGGAUGAAGGGCAUGGGAGCUAUCUCCUGUGUUUGACAUAGCCUCAGAGGAAGCACGGGCUAAGUUCGUGCCAGCAGCCGCGGUAA